rnacentral:rRNA from 1 species
AGUCGAGGAGAGUAUCCUCAGGUGAGCGAGAGAACUAUCGUUAAGGAACUCGGCAAAAUGACCCCGUAACUUCGGGAGAAGGGGUGCUCUUGAGCGUGCAAGCCCGAGAGAGCCGCAGUGAAUAGGCCCAGGCGACUGUUUAGCAAAAACACAGGUCUCUGCAAAACCGUAAGGUGACGUAUAGGGGCUGACGCCUGCCCGGUGCUGGAAGGUUAAUUGAUGGGGUUA